GUGCAUUGUAGUCGCAUUG
rnacentral:miRNA from 6 species